UUUUGGGAGUGAAAAGAUGGCGGACGUGUAGCGUCACUGACACGUAGCCAAUGCCCUAUCCAGAUUAUAUUAUAGAGAUCAGUGAUCCACACGUAUAGAU